CUCCCCCGAAGGCAGCAUCGCGGAGGAGACCAAGCAGAAGCUGAAGUCAGCCAUCCUUUCUGCCCAGUCUGCUGCCAACGUGAGGAAGGAGAGCCUAUGCCAGCCGGCCCUGGAGGUCCUGGAGACAUCCAGCCAGGAGUCCUCGCUGGAGAGCGAGACAGACGAGGACGACGACUACAUGGACAUUUGAGGGGCCACUGCAGCCACACUGCCACGUCCCAGGGGACCAGCCAGGCCUGGAAUGCCCCCUAUGCCUGGACCAGAGGACCACAUGGAUGCCACUCCCCACACAGCUCCCAGGCCUGCCCAGCCCACCUCCUCAUGGCAUCCUCCCUGUACCCAGGUCAGGCUGUCCACACCGCAUGGGAGCCCAGAGGAGGAGGGGCCCGCCUUAGCCAUGUGAAGGUGGAUUGGUCGCCAUCGGCACACCAGGCGGCAUCCUUUUCUAUGAAAUGUUGACUUGGUAAAUCUGCCCACACCCAGCUGGCCAUGUCCACCCCUCGACGCCGGGAUGAGCCGGCUCUGCCUGUGUCACAGUGCAGGGGGUCUUUAGGGCCAGGCUCGCCCCUCACCCGUUUUUUGGUUGCUUUUCUAAUAAAGAUGGAACAGUU